rnacentral:lncRNA from 1 species
GGAAAGAUCGGAUAGCCUCAAGCCAGUUUAUCUUACCUGGAAGCCUGGGUGUGUCUGUAUUUUGAAGCCUCUUACAGUGCUGACUUCCAAGUGGUGCUGUACAGGCCGCCCAAGAGAGUGGUAGGAGAACAAGCACUUCGUGACUUCAGUACCGGAUCGGAACUUCAGCCUCAGCUCGCAUAUACUCAGUCACAUGACCACAGAAGGAUCAUUUUAGUUUUUGCAUUUCUACUUUGUUAUGUGGAAAACUAUAAGAAUUGGACUCAAUUCUCUCUCCAGC